ACGGGCAUUUUUUUUUUUUAAAGACCAGAACGGUUGUGAUGCCUCAUAGGCAAAGCAACCUCAGGGCCUUUCUUAGUAAGCCUGGCUAAGAAGCAAAGCCUUCCGUCCUGGACUCCUUGCUGAUGGACCCUACCUGCCCUUGGGGUUGGAGCUGAGGUGGUGCAGAGCCAACAACACAGACUCCCGGGAGCAGCCCUAUUUUAUGUUCUUUUACUAUGACCUUCAAGCAACUGGCCUCCCGGAGAGUGAAACUGGACUGAGGCAAAAACUGCCUAGCUCUCGGCUCUGGCUGCCAGAAUUCGUUCUCUACACUGACUGAAAUAGAUUAAGAAAAUUAUAUUUUCCAACCUUAUCCUCUCAAAAUAAAAGUACAUGCUACUUAA
rnacentral:lncRNA from 1 species